rnacentral:rRNA from 1 species
AAUGAACGCUGGCGGCGUGCCUAAUACAUGCAAGUCGAGCGACCAGACGAGCAGCGUGCUGCUCUGGCGUUAGCGACGGACGGGUGAGUAACAGGUAGAUACCCUACCUAUAAGACUGGGAUCGCUACGGGAAACCGGAGAUAAUACACGCUCAUAUGUGGAAACGCAUGGAUCAUAAGUGAAAGACGGUUUUGAGGUCACGUAUAGGUGGAUCCGAGCCGGAUUAGCUAGUUGGUAAGGUAACGGCUUACCAAGGCAACGAUGCGUAGCCGACCUGAGAGGGGGAUCGGCCACACUGGAACUGAGACACGGCCCAGACUCCUACGGGAGGCAGCAGUAGGGAAUUUUCGGCAAUGGGGGAAAGCCUGACCCAGCCACCCCGCGUGUGCGAUGAAGGUCUUCGGAUUGUAAAACACUUUUAGCAGGGAAGAACAAAUGUGUACGUAUACACGCUGGUACUGACGGUACCUGCAGAAAAAGCCCCGGCUAACUACGUG